UAGACUGAACUGUUUACUGUUAAAAAUGCAACUUAGAUUUCUUUCUGUUUUAAAACAAAAAUUCCACCGUCUAACUGGUGCCCUUCCUCCCAAAGCUCGGCUAUGGUCUGUGUUCGUUGCCUCUGUUCCUGCCACUGGGUACCACUGACAGGAUGUGCUCCUUCCUCUUUGCACAAAUACUCGAGGAAACUACAGCUGGAGCCUGAGUCAGCUUUCAUAGGCACAAGUUCUCCUUUGACAGAAUGUGACUUCUUCAUGUUUACUAAGUGUAUUAAGUUGAAAGGUCCUGAAUGUAUAUUACUUCCUGAAGCAUAGCCUGCCUUGCUAAACUAGCACUCAGUAUCUCUGUCACAACUCACUUUGAUACCCGUCAGCACUGGCAGUUUCUAAUUGUAGCUUUUUAACUUCUUCUGCAUAGAAUUUAAAACUUGCCUUCCAACACAGAUUUUUUUCUUCUGAAACGUGUGCUGUCCAAGAGCUCACAGUGAUUUCUACAGCUUUGUGUUAUGCUGCCAUAACUGGGUUGACACAGUGCCUUCAUGCAGUUGUGAUCCCUGGUAAAGUUUCGUUCUCACUCUUUUCAUCCAAAUUGUUUAUUUUUGGGAAUUUCCUGCUCAAGUGAUCAAGAGCUUUGAUAUUCUCAAAAUAGCGUUGUUUUUUUUCCCCCCACUUGUUUAAACUGCACAUGGUAAUGGGAAGAGAGCAUGGCCAAAGCUAGGAAAAAUAUUUUUAGCAAAAUGAAAUUAGUUGAAGAGUUGUUCUGUAAUUUUUUAGGGGGAGUGUUUUGUCUUCCAUCCUUUCCUUGGGGCAGGAUCAGGGCCAGCAUCUAUUGCAAAUGCAGCCACUUCACAGAGCACCAUGGUUGGGCACCUGCUUCCUUUCAUCCCAGAAAAGAAGUUCCAGCUUUGAUCCUGAAGAGACUCAUGUUGGUUCAGCUAUGGGAAUACGGGUUGCUACAGCUCACAGAAUGGCUUGCCAGAAGGGUGAAGGAACUCAGUGAUUUUACAAGGAACAGUAAUCAG
ensembl:lncRNA